rnacentral:rRNA from 1 species
UAGGCAAUGCGCGUGCUAUACAUGCAGUCGAGCGAUGGAUUAAAGCUUGCUCUUAUGAAGUUAGCGGCGGACGGGUGAGUAACACGUGGGUAACCUGCCCAUAAGACUGGGAUAACUCCGGGAAACCGGGGCUAAUACCGGAUAACAUUUUGAACUGCAUGGUUCGAAAUUGAAAGGCGGCUUCGGCUGUCACUUAUGGAUGGACCCGCGUCGCAUUAUCUAGUUGGUGAGGUAACGGCUCACCAAGGCAACGAUGCGUACCCCACCUGAGAGGGUGAUCGGCCACACUGGGACUGAGACACGGCCCAGACUCCUACGGGAGGCAGCAGUAGGGAAUCUUCCGCAAUGGACGAAAGUCUGACGGACCAACGCCGCGUGAGUGAAGAAGGCUUUCGGGUCCUAAAACUCUGUUGUUAGGGAAGAACAAGUGUUCUUUUACUACACUGGCACCUUGGUGGUGCCUAACCAGAAAGCCGCGGCUAACUACAUGCCAAAAGCCGCGGUAAUACUUAUGUGGCAAGCGUAAUCCGGAUUUUUGAGCGUAAUACGCGCGCAGGUGGGCCCUUUAGUCUGACAUGAAUUUCCGGGCUC